rnacentral:rRNA from 1 species
UACGUAGGUGACCAGCGUUGUCCGGAUUUACUGGGCGUAAAGAGCGCGCAGGCGGUCGUUCAAGUCGAGUGUGAAAGCCCCCGGCUCAACUGGGGAGGGUCACUCGAUACUGAUCGACUUGAAGGCAGGAGAGGGAAGCGGAAUUCCCGGUGUAGUGGUGAAAUGCGUAGAUAUCGGGAGGAACACCAGUGGCGAAGGCGGCUUCCUGGACAGUUACUGACGCUGAGACGCGAAAGCGUGGGGAGCAAACAGG